CACCCACACUUUACACUCUUUACCAACUACCCUAUGCCUGUCAAAUUCCCUUUCCACCCACUCCCUAUAAUCCUCAAAGGUCUAGUCCUACUUUAUAGCCUUUUGAGUAAAGCUUGUCUAAAGCUUGUCUGCCAUGUUCUUCUGCCAAGACUAUAGUGCAUUCAUUAUUUCUCAAUUCACGAAUUCUCUCUUCCAAAAGAAAGGGUAAUGAAUAGAAGGUUCUCUCUUCCAAUUUUCAUUACUUCUCAAUUCAUGAACUGGAAUUUCAGAGCCUUAAACAGCUGCACAUUUUCGGACCACACAAACCCAGAUUCAUAUUGGGUAAAGCAUCUCCAUUUACUUUCACAAAACCACAAGAAGUUUUCAGUAACAAGAAACAAACAUCCCACACCGUCUACUCAAGGCUUUGUGACCAGGGGGAUUAGCGCUGCUUUCCCAAGACAGGUUUUUAUGUGUAUGAUCUUCAGGCUUUGCCUAUCCAGUUGAUGGAAUGGAAUGAUGUUGAGCGGGUGUUCCUUUGACAUUUCAAGAAAUGUAACAUUGAGUAUACAUCUUCAUAUGUAUAUCUCACACGUUUUCCGCUGCAAAACACUUUGAUUAGGAUAACUUUAUGUUAUGAAAUUGUGACACGUGUUAUUGGGUAACCCACCUUAAUCAGUUCUCAUUUAUGUGUAUGGUUUAUAAGUAUCCAAAUAAUCAUAUAUGAUCCUAGCAUUUUAUCUAUGAGUGACAUUUCCAUAUACUUUAAUGUUAAGUAAUUGUCCAUUUCCAUUU